rnacentral:rRNA from 1 species
GAGGAAAAGAAACCAACAGGGAUUGCCCUAGUAACGACGAGUGAAGCGGCAAGAGCUCAAAUUUGAAAUCUGGUUCUUUCAGAGCCCGAGUUGUAAUUUGUAGAGGGUGCUUUGGCAACGGUUCCGGUCUAAGUUCCUUGGAACAGGACGUCACAGAGGGUGAGAAUCCCGUACGUGGUCGCGGAUCGUCGCUAUGUAAAGCCCCUUCGACGAGUCGAGUUGUUUGGGAAUGCAGCUCUAAAUGGGAGGUAAAUUUCUUCUAAAGCUAAAUACUGGCCAGAGACCGAUAGCGCACAAGUAGAGUGAUCGAAAGAUGAAAAGCACUUUGGAAAGAGAGUCAAACAGCACGUGAAAUUGUUGAAAGGGAAGCGUUUGCGGCCAGACUUGCCUGCAGUUGCUCAUCUGGGCUCUCGCCCGGUGCACUCUUCUGCAGGCAGGCCAGCAUCAGUUCGGGCGGUUGGAAAAAGGCCUCUAUCACGUAUCUUCCUUCGGGAUGACCUUAUAGGGGAGGCGCAACACAGCCAGCCCGGACUGAGGACCGCGCUUUUGCUAGGAUGCUGGCGUAAUGGCCGUAAGCGGCCCGUCUUGAAACACGGACCAAGGAGUCUAACAUCUAUGCGAGUGUUUGGGUGUCAAGCCCGGGCGCGCAAUGAAAGUAAACGUAGGUGGGAGCCUUCGGGCGCACCAUCGACCGAUCUUGAUGUCUUCGGAUGGAUUUGAGUAUGAGCAUAGCUGUUGGGACCCGAAAGAUGGUGAACUAUGCCUGAAUAGGGUGAAGCCAGGGGAAACCCUGGUGGAGGCUCGCAGCGGUUCUGACGUGCAAAUCGAUCGUCAAAUUUGGGCAUAGGGGCGAAAGACUAAUCGA